GGGUGUGUGUGUGUGUGUGUGUGUGUGUGUGUGCGCGCGCGUGCGUGCGCGCACGUGCCCACAGGCACA
rnacentral:miRNA from 1 species